CUCAGGAUGAACGCUAGCUACAGGCUUAACACAUGCAAGUCGAGGGGUAGCAGGGUAGCAAUACCGCUGACGACCGGCGCACGGGUGAGUAACACGUAUCCAACCUUCCCAUAACUCAGGGAUAGCCUUUCGAAAGAAAGAUUAAUACCUGAUAGUACUUUUUCAAGGCAUCUUGAGAAAGUUAAAGAUUUAUUGGUUAUGGAUGGGGAUGCGUUCCAUUAGAUAGUUGGUGAGGUAACGGCUCACCAAGUCUUCGAUGGAUAGGGGUUCUGAGAGGAAGGUCCCCCACAUUGGUACUGAGACACGGACCAAACUCCUACGGGAGGCAGCAGUGAGGAAUAUUGGUCAAUGGGCGAGAGCCUGAACCAGCCAAGUAGCGUGAAGGAUGAAGGUCCUAUGGAUUGUAAACUUCUUUUAUAGUAGAAUAAAGUGAUCCACGUGUGGAUUUUUGUAUGUAUACUAUGAAUAAGGAUCGGCUAACUCCGUGCCAGCCGCAGC
rnacentral:rRNA from 1 species